UUACGGCCAUGUCACGCUGAAGCACCGGUUCUCGUCAGAUCACCGAAGUUAAGCAACGUCGAGCCUGGUCUGUACGUAGAUGGAUGACCGCUUGGGAAUAUCAGGUUAUGUA